CCUAAGGGUGGCAGCAGUGGGGAAUAUUGGACAAUGGGCGAAAGCCUGAUCCAGCCAUGCCGCGUGUGUGAAGAAGGCCUUCGGGUUGUAAAGCACUUUCAGUGGGGAAGAAAGCCUUGGGGCUAAUACCCUCGAGGAAGGACAUCACCCACAGAAGAAGCACCGGCUAACUCCGUGCCAGCAGCCGCGGUAAUACGGAGGGUGCGAGCGUUAAUCGGAAUUACUGGGCGUAAAGCGCGCGUAGGCGGUCUGAUAAGCCGGUUGUGAAAGCCCCGGGCUCAACCUGGGAACGGCAUCCGGAACUGUCAGGCUAGAGUGCAGGAGAGGAAGGUAGAAUUCCCGGUGUAGCGGUGAAAUGCGUAGAGAUCGGGAGGAAUACCAGUGGCGAAGGCGGCCUUCUGGACUGACACUGACGCUGAGGUGCGAAAGCGUGGGUAGCAAACAGGAUUAGAUACCCGAGUAGUC
rnacentral:rRNA from 1 species